rnacentral:rRNA from 1 species
UACGGAGGGGGCUAGCGUUGUUCGGAAUUACUGGGCGUAAAGAGCGCGUAGGCGGUCUGCCAAGUCAGGUGUGAAAGCCCAGGGCUUAACCCUGGAACUGCAUUUGAAACUGGCAGACUAGAGAGUGGUAGAGGAUAGUGGAAUUCCCAGUGUAGAGGUGAAAUUCGUAGAUAUUGGGAGGAACACCGGAGGCGAAGGCGGCUAUCUGGACCAUUUCUGACGCUGAGGCGCGAAAGCGUGGGGAGCAAACAGG